GGGAAUGGGGCUCAGUGGCAGAGCGUUCACCUAGCAUGUGCAAGGCCCUGGGUUCAAUCCUUAGUACCACA
rnacentral:tRNA from 1 species